CAGGCUGUUUUCCACUCGUGUUGUGAAAUGUUGGGUUAAGUCCCGCAACGAGCGCAACCCUUAUCCUUUGUUGCCAGCGGUUCGGCCGGGAACUCAAAGGAGACUGCCAGUGAUAAACUGGAGGAAGGUGGGGAUGACGUCAAGUCAUCAUGGCCCUUACGAGUAGGGCUACACACGUGCUACAAUGGCGUAUACAAAGAGAAGCGACCUCGCGAGAGCAAGCGGACCUCAUAAAGUACGUCGUAGUCCGGAUUGGAGUCUGCAACUCGACUCCAUGAAGUCGGAAUCGCUAGUAAUCGUAGAUCAGAAUGCUACGGUGAAUACGUUCCCGGGCCUUGUACACACCGCCCGUCACACCAUGGGAGUGGGUUGCAAAAGAAGUAGGUAGCUUAACCUUCGGGAGGGCGCUUACCACUU
rnacentral:rRNA from 1 species